UGCCACCACAAUUACUGCAGAUCAUAAUCAUAUCAACGCAGUCCCGGCUAAUAUGACCGGGCCGGCCACAAUUCCGGCAGAUCAUGUCCCGAAAAGGGUCAUCCCUCAAUGACGAGCCCACCGGGCCCAGAAAGGUAGAUGGGCGGGAUUUAACAGAGCCCACCAGACUGGACGAACCCGACUUGGGACACUGACGAGCUACAUGCCCAGCUAUGCUGCAAAUGUUGCAAACUGGAUCAUUACGACAGUCACGAGCAAGGUGACCUGUUUUCCGACAGUUAUUGCAAGCUUUCUCAUUGGUGCAAUCAGCUGCAACAUGCCCGGCUUUAUAACAGUUGUUGCAAAGACGAGCAUCGUAUGACGAAGCACUUGGGCUAUGACAAUCACGGGCCAGAUGACCGAUUUUACCACACAUGUGGCACACGGACUCGUUGGGGCAUUCACUUGAGACGUGUCCUGAUUCCUUGCAGUUCCAACACAUGGUGGUUGAUGUGCACUCAGCGGAAACAUGGCUACAAGAUGUCCACAAUUGUUGCAGACAGUGGCGUUUGGACAAUCUCUGGCAAAGUGUCCAGGUCGCCUACAUUUGUUGCACAGAUAA
rnacentral:lncRNA from 1 species